rnacentral:tRNA from 1 species
GCCCUGGUGGUGUAAUCCGGCUCAGCAUGAAGCCCUGUCGCGGCUUCGAUUCGGGUUCAAAAUAACGCGACCGUAAAGGUUUCGAUUGGAAGUCCCGACCAGGGCG